GGCCCUGUCGCCUAAUCGAUAAAGCACCGGUCUCCUAACCCGAAGAUUCAAGGUUCGAGUCCUUGCUGGGUCG
rnacentral:tRNA from 1 species